GAUGAAGAACGUAGCGAAAUGCGAUAAGUAAUGUGAAUUGCAGAAUUCAGUGAAUCAUCGAAUCUUUGAACGCACAUUGCGGCCAUAGGUAUUCCUUUGGCCAUGCCUGUUCGAGCGUCAUUUACACCCUCAAGCCUAGCUUGGUGUUGGGCGCCUGUCCCGCCGUUUUCGCGCGCGGACUCGCCUCAAAGUCAUUGGCGGCGGUCGUGCCGGCCCCCUCGCGCAGCACAUUUGCGCUUCUCGGAGGCCCGGCGGAUCCGCGCUCCAGCAAGACCUUUCACGACUUGACCUCGGAUCAGGUAGGGAUACCCGCUGAACUUAAGCAUAUCAAUAAGCGGAGGA
rnacentral:misc_RNA from 1 species